CCUACGGGAGGCUGCAGUGAGGAAUAUUGGUCAAUGGACGAGAGUCUGAACCAGCCAAGUAGCGUGAAGGAUGACUGCCCUAUGGGUUGUAAACUUCUUUUAUAUGGGAAUAAACUGUUCCACGUGUGGGAUUUUGUAUGUACCAUAUGAAUAAGGAUCGGCUAACUCCGUGCCAGCAGCCGCGGUAAUACGGAGGAUCCGAGCGUUAUCCGGAUUUAUUGGGUUUAAAGGGAGCGUAGGUGGAUUGUUAAGUCAGUUGUGAAAGUUUGCGGCUCAACCGUAAAAUUGCAGUUGAAACUGGCAGUCUUGAGUACAGUAGAGGUGGGCGGAAUUCGUGGUGGAGCGGUGAAAUGCUUAGAUAUCACGAAGAACUCCGAUUGCGAAGGCAGUUCACUGGACGGCAACUGACACUGAGGCUCGAAAGUGUGGGUAUCAAACAGGAUUAGAUACCCUGGUAGUC
rnacentral:rRNA from 1 species